AACCUACGGGACGCAGCAGUGAGGAAUAUUGGUCAAUGGCCGAGAGGCUGAACCAGCCAAGUCGCGUGAGGGAAGACGGCCCUACGGGUUGUAAACCUCUUUUGUCGGGGAGCAAAGCGAACCACGUGUGGUUCAUUGAGAGUACCCGAAGAAAAAGCAUCGGCUAACUCCGUGCCAGCAGCCGCGGUAAUACGGAGGAUGCGAGCGUUAUCCGGAUUUAUUGGGUUCAAAGGGUGCGCAGGCGGAGGUGCAAGUCAGCGGUCAAAUUGCGGGGCUCAACUCCGUCGAGCCGUUGAAACUGCCGG
rnacentral:rRNA from 1 species